AGUGAACGCUGGCGGUAGGCCUAACACAUGCAAGUCGAACGGCAGCACAGUAAGAGCUUGCUCUUACGGGUGGCGAGUGGCGGACGGGUGAGGAAUACAUCGGAAUCUACUUUUUCGUGGGGGAUAACGUAGGGAAACUUACGCUAAUACCGCAUACGACCUACGGGUGAAAGCAGGGGAUCUUCGGACCUUGCGCGAUUGAAUGAGCCGAUGUCGGAUUAGCUAGUUGGCGGGGUAAAGGCCCACCAAGGCGACGAUCCGUAGCUGGUCUGAGAGGAUGAUCAGCCACACUGGAACUGAGACACGGUCCAGACUCCUACGGGGGGCAGCAGUGGGGAAUAUUGGACAAUGGGCGCAAGCCUGAUCCAGCCAUACCGCGUGGGUGAAGAAGGCCUUCGGGUUGUAAAGCCCUUUUUGUUGGGAAAGAAAAGCAGCAGGUUAAUACCCCGCUGUUCUGACGGUACCCAAAGAAUAAGCACCGGCUAACUUCGUG
rnacentral:rRNA from 1 species